rnacentral:rRNA from 1 species
UGACGGUACCUGACUAAGAAGCUCCGGCUAAAUACGUGCCAGCAGCCGCGGUAAUACGUAUGGAGCAAGCGUUAUCCGGAUUUACUGGGUGUAAAGGGAGCGUAGACGGAACAGCAAGUCUGAUGUGAAAUGCGGGGGCUCAACUCCUGAACUGCAUUGGAAACUGUUGAGCUAGAGUGUCGGAGGGGUAAGUGGAAUUCCUAGUGUAGCGGUGAAAUGCGUAGAUAUUAGGAGGAACACCAGUGGCGAAGGCGGCUUACUGGACGAUAACUGACGCUGAGGCUCGAAAGCGUGGGGAGCAAACAGGAUUAGAUACCCUG